CGAUAAACGUUGAAGAGGACUAGUAGCUUUAGAGUCAGUAUCUACAGAGAGCCGGUGCUAGCUGGAAACCGGUGUUACUUUCUAAAGUGAACUCACCUCUGAGUGUCUGCUUGAAAUGAUAGUAGGGCAGACCGAGUGACAUUGCUCACUCGUUACCAAAAUGGACGAAAGAUGUCCAUGAGACGGCAGCAGGAUUGCCGUGAACAAGGGUGGUACCGCGAAAAACAAAGCUUUUUCGCCCCUUUG
rnacentral:ncRNA from 1 species